ACCAGGCGCCGUGGCAUGUGCCUGUAGUCCCAGCUACUCGGGAGGCUGAGGCUGGAGGAUCGCUUGAGUCCAGGAGUUCUGGGCUGUAGUGCGCUAUGCCGAUCAGGUGUCCGCACUAAGUUCAGCAUCAAAAUAGUAACCUCCCGGGAGCAGGGGACCAGGUUGCCUUAGGAGGGGUGAACUGGCCCAGGUCGGAAACGGAGCAGGUGAAAACUUCUGUGCUGAUCAGUAGUGGGAUCUCACCUGUGAAUAGCCACUGCACUCCAGCCUGGGCAACAUAUCGAGACCCCGUCUCU
rnacentral:SRP_RNA from 1 species